UGCAAAUAUGACAGAGCAUGAGGCUGUUCUCGAAAGGGCCAUUCCCUAAGGAGAAGAUGUAUUAGUCACACUGUAAUGCUCCAACACAAAAGAGCUCGGGACUUGUCACAUCUGACACCAACAUCGACCUUCCCCUCUGUGUCACCGUCUGCCUUUGUAGUAGGCGCGUUUUUAUUCCCACUCGAAGGAUGCCGUGACUCCAAUAGUGCCUUCCUGACUUCAUUUAUCGAGGUGACUCUCACCGGCAGUUCAGCAAUUCUACUGCGGAUCUCGCAAGUCUCCGCGUUCUCAAGCCCCGCCCCCCAACACCCGUGUUCGUCCUACGAACCACAUCCAGAUGACUGUGUCAAACUGGGCUCUCCUCAUGAACUUUCUCCUGUGAUCCACGGUAGCCAGUCACGAUUGCUUGUUUGGGAAUUUAAAGUUCUCUCUGAGAAGCCAGGCGCAGUGGUGCACACCUGCAAUCCUAGGAUUCGGGAGGAUGAGGCGAGAGGAUCUUGAGUCCCCAGCUGCAAGGGACACUUCGCUAAAACAAAACAACACAACACAACAACAACAACAACAACAACAACAACAGAUAAAGACAUCUCUUCAUGAGCAGAUAUUUUUUUUCCUAUCUAAUAAUGGAGGGGUUUUUGUUUUUAUUAAAUUUAUCUUAUCUGUUAUUAGUGUGUGUGCACGCUCAAGCCUGUGUGCCAACAGCAUGCGUGGAGAGGUCAGAGGUCACCUUUGUAGACUUGAUUCUCGCCUUCCACCUUUUUUUUGUUUUGUUUUGUUUUUUUUUGUUUUUUUUGGUU